GUGACUCCCUCAGAGGAGACAUGUCCUCCUCCUCAUCAACUGGUCUGCUUACAGAAGUAAUUCAGUCCGAGCUGCGCUGAGCGUGUGAACACGACGACGGAGACUUUCACAGGAUGGAUGCCAGAGAGGAGACGCUGAACAUCCUGAGGAACAUAUGGGUCAAGCUGCAGGGUCUUCCAAACGCUGGCCCUGUGGAGCUGGGAGCUUUCUUUGUCAUCUUAACCUUCAUCUUGGUGGUCCUGCUCAUGACAGCGCUGACCUGCGUGACCAGCAGCUGCUGCUGCUGCUGCUGUCGCAAGGCAAAGAUGAAGAGAUCGAAAAUUUGAGCAAAACAGGACGUGGUGCAAAUGGUCCUCAAAAAACAACAAGAGGCUUGUUGUCGUUUAGUCAACAGACAUUCAAGAGCUUUCAGAGGCACUAGAGUAGCCCAACCCUGGAACAACAAAACACCUGAAACAUCAUGGCGGGCUAACACACCCGCUGAAGCGGGAGAAUCUACUUUCUUUGGAGCAUCGCUGCGCUCUACAGAGGAACAACAACUCAUCUGGCUCGAGGAAACCUGACGUGUCUUCAAUAACGCAGGCUAAUACAAGGAAUAUGAGCUAUAAAAAUGUGUAGGGCGAUUAAAAAAAACUGCAGUGAGUUGCACAGAUACGAAUGGGGAUAACUAAAUGUUUUGUUAACAUGUCAUACUUAAGGAAUGACAACUGGCAGUCAAAGUCACAGCUAACCUGUUUGUUUCGGUGUAAACAAAUUAAGGUCCGUUUGCCCGGUUAGUGCAGUUUAUUUGGGCUGAUGUUAAAGCUGUCAAUCAAACUACGGUCCGUGGACUCGGGCGCGGUUCGUUUGAGGUGGGAAAGCAGACAAACUCGCCACGGGAUUUUGCGAAAGCACACACGGGAUUCUAGCAUGAUUUCACAUGCUAAACUACUAAUAAAUCCAUCUGCUGAUGGUGAAAUCGGUUAUUUGUAUUGAUCUGUAUCGGGCCAUGUAUAUCACCUGUUAAAGCAAAUAUUCUGGUAAAAACA